UACAGAGGAGCCAAGCGUUGUCCGGAUUGACUGGGCGUAAAGCGCACUGCGAGGACGGGACGCGCGCGUGGGGUGUGAAAUCUGGCCGCUUAACGGGCCAGGCGCCAUCCCAUACGGCGCGUCUGGAGUGAUGCAGAGGUCGGUGGAAUUGCCGGUGUAGUGGUGAAAUGCGUAGAGAUCGGACAGGACACCAGGGGAAACCAGCCGACUGGGCAGACUACUGACGCUGAGGUGCGGAGAGCGUGGG
rnacentral:rRNA from 1 species